rnacentral:rRNA from 1 species
GAACUGAGGGGGGCUGCUCCUAGUACGAGAGGACCGGAGUGGACGCAUCACUGGUGUUCGGGUUGUCAUGCCAAUGGCACUGCCCGGUAGCUAAAUGCGGAAGAGAUAAGUGCUGAAAGCAUCUAAGCACGAAACUUGCCCCGAGAUGAGUUCUCCCUGACUCCUUGAGAGUCCUGAAGGAACGUUGAAGACGACGACGUUGAUAGGCCGGGUGUGUAAGCGCAGCGAUGCGUUGAGCUAACCGGUACUAAUGAACCGUGAGGCUUAACCUUACAACGCCGAAG